rnacentral:rRNA from 1 species
UUCCUACGGGGCGCAGCAGUGGGGGAUAUUGCACAAUGGGGGGAGCCCUGAUGCAGCGACGCCGCGUGGGUGAAGAAGCGCCUCGGCGCGUAAAGCCCUGUCAGCAGGGAAGAAAAUGACAGUACCUGGACAAGAAGCCCCGGCUAACUACGUGCCAGCAGCCGCGGUAAUACGUAGGGGGCAAGCGUUAUCCGGAUUUACUGGGUGUAAAGGGAGCGCAGGCGGCGUUGCAAGUCAGAUGUGAAAACCCGGGGCCCAACCCCGGGAGUGCAUUUGAAACUGCCAUGCUGGAGUGCCGGAGAGGG